rnacentral:lncRNA from 1 species
UUUUCCCACUGUACAGGAAGGGGGUCAGGUUAUCCUUACAUGUAUACAUUACAAUUACAGUUUUUCCCCCACCCUUUCUUCUGUUGCAACAUGAGUAUCUAGACAUAGUUCUCAAUGCUAUUCAGCAGGAUCUCCUUGUAAAUCUAUUCUAAGUUGUGUCUGAUAAGCCCAAGCUCCCGAUCCCUCGCACUCCCUCCCCCUCCCAUCAGGCAUCCACAAGUCUCUUCUCCAAGUCCAUGAUUUUCUUUUCUGAGGAGAUGUUCAUUUGUGCUGGAUAUUAGAUUCCAGUUAUAAGUGAUAUCAUAUGGUAUUUGUCUUUGUCUUUCUGGCUCAUUUCACUCAGUAUGAGAUUCUCUAGUUCCAUCCAUGUUGCUGCAAAUGGCAUUAUGUCAUUCUUUUUUAUGGCUGAGUAGUAUUCCAUUGUGUAUAUAUACCACAUCUUCCGAAUCCAAUCAUCUGUCGAUGGACAUUUGGAUUGUUUCCAUGUCCUGGCUAUUGUGAAUAGUGCUGCAAUGAACAUGCGGGUGCAUGUGUCUCUUUUAAGUAGAGCUUUGUCCGGAUAGAUGCCCAAGAGUGGGAUUGCAGACCCUUCUAACUUCUUAUGAACAUAUUACUGUAACUGGAGCUACCUGGAUGCAACUCCCUUGAUCAUUUUAUUAGAUAACCACCUCUUGAGCUCCAUCUUUCCUACUCUUCAUCCUAACUCUGGUUGUUUUCUUCCUUUACUAACCCCUUUGGUCUCAGCAAGUCCUGUCACACAUCAAACAAACCCCUUUUUUGUUUAGGUGUCAAACCAACCAUUUUUGGCACUUGUAAUUGGUCUUUCCUGCAUUAAUCUAAGUAUUGAUAAGAUAUUUGUAACAGCUUUGGGCUUUUAAUAUACUUUUUUAUACACAUUACCGAAAAGGAAAGGGCGCAAAGCAAACAAACUAAAACCCUUGCAAAUUAAUCUGAGAAGAUCUGUGUUAAAAGAAAGAUGAAAAGGAAAGGUAAAACUAAGAAAAUGGUAAUCAAACAGAACAGUAAAGUUAAAGUCAAAUCUCAGUCCUAUCGAAUGUUUUAACAUGAGGAUAUAUGUUUAAUUCCAGAAAAAAAUAGUUUACCUAUUGUGAACUUUUCUUAUAUGUUGAGCAUAAAGUAAAAUAAUCAAUACUAGACAGAAGUUAUAAUAAUUGCUUUGCUAUUACUGAUGAGAACAAACUUCAUGUAGUAAGAAAGUAAUCAGUGAUAUAUAUGUUUAGAUAAUAAAUACAAGAGAUUCUUUCAUUUUUCCUUCUGUUGUACCCCUUGCAAUCCUACCAUUUCACAUUUACACUACUCUCAAGACUUUGGGGAAUAAUAGGGAAAAAAAGUGUGUGUCUAUGCAUAGCUUGCAUUUAGGCCCUCAAGGGACACGGUACAGUCCCAGCAGAGCAGCCCUCUUCUCACACUUACCCUUAAGCUACUCAGCUUCCACAUGGUGUAGGAUUUCACUCUUUGGCUUCUUCCUACUUACCAAGUGCCUCGGCAGUCAUCUUGAAUUCAGAAGGGUUUAUAAUCCACCAAACUAAUGCACAUUUUACACAAUCAGCAUCUUCUAAAUUGUUUCAUUAGAAAGUAGCUGUAUUUAACAGAUAAUUUUCUCAUCUAUCUGUUGAAAACCAAACCUUUUGAUCCAUUUCAUUCCACCAGUAAUACAUUCAAGGAAAUGAUGAAGUAUAUGAAGAUGUUAAGAAAAGCCCGUCACUAGGCAAUUGUCCUAGAACAGAAAGUUCUUUAUUCUGUGUUUGUUUUGUUUUGUUUUGUUUGGCUGCACUUGUGGCAUAUGGAAGUUCCUGGGCCAGGGAUCAAAUUCAAGCUGCAGCUGUGACCUUCAUCAUGGCUGCUGCAACACUGGAUCUUUAACCCACUGUAAAAGACAAUGCCAGAUCCUUGACCCGAUGCACCACAGUGGGAACUCCUAUUCUUGUUAAUUGUUUUAAAUUUACCAAACUUCCAAAUAUUUUUAAAGAAAUUUUUAUUUUGGAAUAACUUCAGAUUUACAGAAAAGUUGCAAAGAUGAUGCAGAGAGUUCUCAUGUUUUCCUCACCCAAUUUUUCUUGCCAUUAACAUCUUGUAUGUCCAUGAAAAAACAAAGUUGAAAAAACAAAGAAACCCACAUUAUUACAUUGUUACCUGAAUUGCAGACUUGCAGUUCACUGUUUUUUCCACUAAUGUCCCAUUUCUGUUUCGGAAUCACUUGCAAGAAAUAACAUGAUGUUUUGUUACCAUUUCUCUUUACUCUCCUCUCAUCUGUGACAGUUCUCACUUUUUCCUCAUUUCUUGUGAUAUUGGGAGUUUUGAAGUAUUGGCCACGUAUUUUGUAGUAUGUUCCUCCAUUUGGGUUUGACAUUUUUAUCAUGAUUAGACUGCAGUUACUGGUUUGGGAAAGAAUACUGUAAAGAUGACAUGCUUCUCUCAUCACAUCUAACAGGGGUAUGUGGUAUCAUCAUGACUUAUCACUGGUAAAGGUAACCUUCAUCAUCAAAGGCAAGGUAGUGAUUGCUGAGUUGCUUUACAUAAAGUUAUCAUACUCCCUCCCCUCAGCUCUCCAUACUCUAUUCUUCCAAAUAGUAAUGAAAGUCUAUUACCAUCCCUCACUUAUUCUUGGCUCUUAAAAUUUGAUUCGCAUAUCCUUUUAUAAGAAAUAAACAUAUUCAUAAUAGCUUUUUGAACAAGUGCAUUUUGGAAAAAAGGCCUUGGUACCCAUUCCCUGAAGCAGUUGAAUUCUGCGUUCACCAAUUAAAUGAGCAUAUGUGCACUUUGGGUUUGAAAAUAUAGGGGCUAAGUUGCUGAUGUGGGCAAGUCACACAGUCAACUCAUAAAGCCUUAAUUAAACAAGCAUUGUGCUUUCUUAAUUCUAGUAUAGUAAAAUCUACAGCAUCCCUUAGGAACUUUUAAAAUACCCAACAGAGGCUUAGCACCUCAUUUAGCAACCAUUGACUUAGGCCGGUGAUUUGGAUGGAUAGUGUUUGGAUUCAAUUACUUUGAAAUAAGGAAACAAAUAGAAGUCAAGUUAAUUAUCAUAUUGCUUCAGUUGGUAUGCUUUUUUAAUUUAGAAAAGGGGUGGGAGAACAACCUAUGAUCAACUCUAUUCAGUAGGCUUUCAGACACCAGGGCUUUCAUAGAAAACAUUAAUUUUGUGGCCAGUGCCAUCUCCGUCGCCAGGAACAAUGGCCUCAUCAUUCAUAGCACCAGCAUCAUCUCUCUAAAAGAAGACUUCCUGGAUUGAAGACACCUAUGGUUUUUAAAAAUCUUGUCUAGUAAUACAAAACCCAUGAGGUAUCUGCUGGUAUAUUAAGCUUUUGUAUGUGAAUUAAAGUAUCAUUUACUGGUAUAAUGGAAAAUGCUUGGUUGUGAGAUCAAACAGACCAGUCCAAGUUCCACCUGGGCUUGUUCUUAGUUAUACACUGAGAAAGUUACUGGUCAUCUAUGGCCCUCGGGGUCAUUUUUUAUUUUUGUGAAGUUGGGUUAAAGAGACCUCAAGAAUAUUGUUAUGAAGAUUAAUAUACUGGCAAACAGUCUUGGCAAUAUGAUUGGCAAUCAGUAAAUCAGAGCUUUUGAGAUUAGCAAUAUAAGGAGUUAGGAAGAAAAAUGUUAAAUCCUAGCAUAACUUUCCAGUCAAACACACACAUACUAGACACACACACACACACACACACACACACAGAACUGUGUACUCAGAGAUUUGGUGAGAUAAAGUAGAAAGUGUGCUAAUCAUUUACACAGUGAAGAACAUGGGGAUUAUAUGCCAUUGGAGGCAAAUUGGAGGUUAGUAUUGCAAACAACCAUCUUGAUAAAUAGGACAUGGGGCUGAAAUCAAUAAAAAGGGAUUCAAUAAAAACAAAUGUAAACUGCACAAAUGAUUGUUCCAUGGGGAUGGAGAUGUUAGCUGUAAUGAAUGAUAAAUUGAGUAUAAGUCAACAAUAUGAUGGUGCCGUAUAAAAUCCUAGGUACCAUUAGGCAUGUAUUGAUAGGCAGAGUGUGGAUGGCAUGAGAGGUAAUUAUUUAGCUCUACCAGCAUUUUUUAGGCCUCAAUUGGAUAACUGUGUUCAGUAUUUUUUCCUCAGUUGAAAGGGAAUCAUAGAUAAAUUUGAAUAUGUUCAGAAGAGAGCAACAAAAAUGAUAAAAGAUUUGGAAAAUGAGAUCUAUAAGGCAAUGUUAAGGGAACUGGCCAUCUUCAGCCUGGAGGAAAGAUAAUAGGGAAGCAAGGUAACUAUUAACACAUAGGAAAGAGAUACUAUAAAUGAGACAAGGGAUCGAUUAUUCCCACAAGUCACUCAAAGUUGAAAAAGUUGGGCUUGGGCUGCAGUAGAUAAAACUUAAUUUAAAUAGUAAGAACCAGUGUGUGAAUACAGAGCAUUUUAACAUAGAAUCAAGGUACCUUUAGUAAUUAGGAAACCUACUUAUUAAAUAAUUUGAAAGUGUCAAACCUGGAAUUAUUCUUUUGUAGUUUUGAUAGAGUGGAAAAGAUAUGGCCCAGCUUAGUCCCCAAAUCUCUAUACUAAUCCAAGCUCUACAAAUAUACUUUAUAGUUCAGGCCCUUCUGAUCUACUGAUAUAGUCAUAGCCAUUCUUUAAAAAGGGGAUUCUUGAUUAUUUAAAUAUUUAAAAUUUUUUUGUAGGAUGUUUUGUCUUAACUUAGGUGGUAGAAAUGUUUAUUUUUUUCAAUAUUUUUCUUUGCUUCUUUGUACUCUUACUUUCAUUAGAUUCAGAUUUCGAUAUAAAACUUUAGUGCAUCAAAUUUUCUUCAUCAAAAACUUUAUAAUGAGUUUUAAUUCUUUCAGACAUGGACUACUGCAAUGAAAAAUGGGAUCUAUAAGGCAAUGUUAUAAUCUAUAAGGCUUGCUGUAUAUUUUUUUAACUUCCUGGAGGUAGGUUCAAUAAACUAGGGUAAGUAGAGUACUCAUUAGGGGCAGACAAUAGGUUUCAAAAGGCAAGACAGGAGUUCCUGUCAUGGCUCAGUGGUUAACAAAUCUGACUAUGAACCAUGAGGUGGUGUGUUCGAUCCAUGGCCUUGCUCAGUGGGUUAAGGAUCCAGCGUUGGCGUGCACUGUGGUGUAGGUUGCAGACGCAGCUCAGAUCCCACGUUGCUGUGGCUCUGGCAUAGGCCAGCGGCUACAGCUCCGAUUAGACCCCUAGCCGGGAAACCUCCAUAUGAAGCGGGAACAGCCCUAAAAAUGNAAAAAAAAAAAAAAAAAAAAAAAA